CGAGCGGCGGACGGGUGAGUAAUGUCUGGGAAACUGCCUGAUGGAGGGGGAUAACUACUGGAAACGGUAGCUAAUACCGCAUAACGUCUUCGGACCAAAGUGGGGGACCUUCGGGCCUCAUGCCAUCAGAUGUGCCCAGAUGGGAUUAGCUAGUAGGUGGGGUAACGGCUCACCUAGGCGACGAUCCCUAGCUGGUCUGAGAGGAUGACCAGCCACACUGGAACUGAGACACGGUCCAGACUCCUACGGGAGGCAGCAGUGGGGAAUAUUGCACAAUGGGCGCAAGCCUGAUGCAGCCAUGCCGCGUGUAUGAAGAAGGCCUUCGGGUUGUAAAGUACUUUCAGCGGGGAGGAAGG
rnacentral:rRNA from 1 species